GUACACGCUGUGACUAGCAUAUCAAUAAGCGGAGGAAAAGAAACUAACAAGGAUUCCCCUAGUAACGGCGAGUGAAGCGGGAAGAGCUCAAAUUUGAAAUCCUAAAGGGUUUCCCUUUACGAAUUGUAGUUUAAAGAAGUGUUUUCUGUUGAGGUUUUGGUAAAAGUUCUUUGGAAUAGGACAUCAUAGAGGGUGAGAAUCCCGUAUUUGACCUUUACUUUCAACUUUGUGAUACACUUUCAAAGAGUCGGAUUGUUUGGGAAUGCAGUCCAAAAUGGGUGGUAAAUUUCAUCUAAAGCUAAAUAUUGGCGAGAGACCGAUAGCGAACAAGUACCGUGAGGGAAAGAUGAAAAGAACUUUGAAAAGAGAGUUAAACAGUACGUGAAAUUGUCAAAAGGGAAGCGUUUGACACCAGUGUUGUUUUUCUGAAAAUCAAUUAAAGAACUGUUUAUGCUAAGUUGUUUAGACUUUAUCAGCUAUCUGUUUAGUUUUGAGCUUUUCUUUAAUGCACUUUUCAGUUAACAAGUCAACAUCAAUUUCUUUUGCUGUAAAAAAGCUUGAGGAAGGUGGCUUGAGAUUCGUCUUAAGUGUUUAUAGCCUCUUGCCUAUGCAGUCGGAGAGAUUGAGGUCUGCAGCGUAGAUCCUUCGGGGCUAAAUGCAUUUGUGCUAAGUUAUAGCAUUUUAUAGACAACUUGUUGACUAUGAUUUGUCUUGUAGCUUACUCGCCUAUGUUAUUUUACCUACGCUUAGGAUGUUGAAGAUGUAGCACAUCA
rnacentral:rRNA from 1 species